rnacentral:rRNA from 1 species
CCUACGGGUGGCAGCAGUGGGGAAUAUUGCACAAUGGGGGAAACCCUGAUGCAGCGACGCCGCGUGAGUGAAGAAGUAUUUCGGUAUGUAAAGCUCUAUCAGCAGGGAAGAAAAUGACGGUACCUGACUAAGAAGCCCCGGCUAACUACGUGCCAGCAGGCGCGGGAAUACGUAGGGGGCAAGCGUUAUCCGGAUUUACUGGGUGAAAAGGGAGCGUAGACGGCAGGGCAAGUCUGGAGUGAAAUCCCCGGGCUUAACCAUGGAACUGCUUUGGAGACUGUGCAGCUGGAGUGCAGGAGAGGUAAGCGGAAUUCCUAGUGUAGCGGUGAAAUGCGUAGAUAUUAGGAAGAACACCAGUGGCGAAGGCGGCUUACUGGACUGUAACUGACGUUGAGGCUCGAAAGCGUGGGGAGCAAACAGGAUUAGAUACCCCAGUAGUC